AGAGUUUGAUCCUGGCUCAGGAUGAACGCUGGCGGCGUGCCUAAUACAUGCAAGUCGAGCGAAUCAAUAGGAGCUUGCUCCUGUUGGUUAGCGGCGGACGGGUGAGUAACACGUGGGCAACCUGCCUGUAAGACUGGGAUAACUUCGGGAAACCGGAGCUAAUACCGGAUAAUCCUUUUUCACUCAUGUGGGAAAGCUGAAAGACGGUUUCGGCUGUCACUUACAGAUGGGCCCGCGGCGCAUUAGCUAGUUGGUGAGGUAACGGCUCACCAAGGCGACGAUGCGUAGCCGACCUGAGAGGGUGAUCGGCCACACUGGGACUGAGACACGGCCCAGACUCCUACGGGAGGCAGCAGUAGGGAAUCUUCCGCAAUGGACGAAAGUCUGACGGAGCAACGCCGCGUGAACGAUGAAGGCCUUCGGGUCGUAAAGUUCUGUUGUUAGGGAAGAACAAGUACCGGAGUAACUGCCGGUACCUUGACGGUACCUAACCAGAAAGCCACGGCUAACUACGUGCCAGCAGCCGCGGUAAUACGUAGGUGGCAAGCGUUGUCCGGAAUUAUUGGGCGUAAAGCGCGCGCAGGCGGUUCCUUAAGUCUGAUGUGAAAGCCCCCGGCUCAACCGGGGAGGGUCAUUGGAAACUGGGGAACUUGAGUACUGAAGAGGAAAGCGGAAUUCCACGUGUAGCGGUGAAAUGCGUAGAGAUGUGGAGGAACACCAGUGGCGAAGGCGGCUUUCUGGUCAGUAACUGACGCUGAGGCGCGAAAGCGUGGGGAGCAAACAGGAUUAGAUACCCUGGU
rnacentral:rRNA from 1 species